GCACAAUAGCCUGAGAGAUCAGACGUGGGAGAUUAGAUUGCUCGGCGUCAGACCUACUUCUAGGCAACCCCCCCUAGACUGGAGCUGCUCGUCGUGGACAUUAGGAUCUAGUUGGGCAUGAGCCCUUAACUUAAGGGUCGGGGGGGAAGUGGCGGGUGCGGAGAGGAGGCGUGGAGAGUGUGAGGAAGAAGAGAGGCACUCUGAGAAGAAGUCGAACAACUAACCCCUCAUUUGGCCUGGUUUGGGUGAGAAGAUUGAGUCACUUGGGGAAAAAAAUAUUGGAGAAGUCAGAGAAGGUGUAAAUCAGUGGUGCCACAAACACCAGUUUACUUCCACUUUUCACCCCCCGGGUCUGUUUUGUCUGCGUGCAGCUCUCCUCGUGUCGGAGACGCUGAGUCAGUUCUCUACUGGUCUUGCCCUCUUCCGGAAAAAGAAAACACACCUGAGAAGUGGUAGUUCCUAUCCUAACCUACUGGGGCCCUUUAUACCAGGUGCCAAACUUCAUUAUCCACCCCACCACCUUGCCCGGGAGGGAGAUCUGUGAAAGCGAAACGUGAUUUAAGCUGGGAUCUGGCAGCAACUUCGUGGACUCUGAAGGGCACGUGGGAAAGGAGUUUUGAUUGAAGAAACCAAUGGCUGCAUUAAAUGAGUCUAUAGAAGAUUUUUCAUCUCUGGACAUGUCUAAUUGCAGAGCUCUAAUUGGAGGAACGUGUGGCAGUAUCUGAAAGGAGAAAAUAGGGUCUUGUUCUGUCACCUAGGCUGGAGUGGCAUGAUCAUGGCUCACUGCAACUUCUGCCUCCCUGGCUCCCAGCCUCAAGUGAUCCUCCCACUCCAGUCCCCUGAAGCAACUGGGACCACAGAGUAAUUUUAUGCUGAUUGAAGAAAAGAAGUAAACAGAGUUCCAGAAAGCAACUGCAAAUACUCAUUUUGAAAAAGAAAACAAAACAAAAACAAGGGAGACAUUUUAAAAGGUGCUAAAGCAACAGGACCAGUUGCCAGAGAGCUUAUUUUACCUCCCCAAAACAAGAUUGGUGUUUCAUCCUUGAGUUUAGUACACAGGAUUGUUCUUAUUCUUCUGCAGAUAGAGAGGUGCACUGCUUUAUGCUGCAAGUUGUCUAUAAGACAAGUUUUGUGAGUAUCAAAUAUUUGUAAGCAAAUCAAAUUUCUCCCCCAGUUGAAAUGAUUAUUUCAGAAGAAUUUCUUCUUUGUUUUGAAUUGGACUUCUGAGUUGGACUUCUCAGCAUGAUAAAGAAGAAAGAGCAUUAGAAUAAGAAAGAAGAUUAAGCUUCUUGUUUUGAUUAUGCCCAUAAUCAGCUGUGGGACCCCGGGCUAAUGCACUCCAAAAUCCCACUGUUCUGUGACCUUGCUAUGUGGGGCAUCAGCCUCCUCAUCUCUAAUAUUUUGGAUUUAAGUUAGUUGAUUUUUAUGGUCCCGCAAUGGAAUUCUUUAAACAACUCCACUAAUCCAUGAUACUGUUGCUUUAAAAAUCUUGGUUUUAGCUUUCCUCUAAGGAAUUUAUAGUGACAAUUAUCUACUUUUUUUUUCUUAAAUAAAAAUAGAGGUGGGGUUUUGCCAUGUUGCCCAGGCUGGUCUCAAACUCUUGGGCUCAAGUGAUCUGCCCACCUUGGCCUCCUAAAGUGCUGGGAUGACAGGUGUGAGCCACUGUACCCGGCCAGACCAUAUGUCUCUAGCAUUUUGAUAACAUUCUCUACAAUCUGGGCCCUGUAUAACUCCCCAGUCUUCAGACUACUACUCUCUAUGCUCACAUCUUUGGCGAUUUUAUACUCUUUGCCAAUUUAGAUGCCAUUUGUUUUUUCGUUUCCAGUAGAUUAGUAUGUCCAACCCAGAUUUUGGUAAACCCUAGACUCAUUCUACAGUCUGUGACAUCUCCAUUUGGAUUUCUUAUUGGCAUCUCAGACUCCAUAUGUCUAACCUGGAAUGCCUGAUCUCCAUUGCCUCCUAAACCGGCUUCUCUCACGGCUCUCCCAUCUCGGGGCCCAGCAUCUCAGACCUUUGCCUUGCUUACACCAGACAUUUUGUUGUUAUCUGUACCACCUCCUUCUCGUGCAGUCUACUUGAUGCCACCUAAUUGGUAUCCCUGGCUUCUGCCCUUGUUCUCUUAACGAAUCAUUUUCCAAACAGCAGCCAGAGUGAUCCUUUCAAAAAUGGAUUCAGAAAUCAUGUCACUGCUCUGCCCAAAGUUCCCAAAUGACUUCCCAGUCACUCAGAGCACAAGCUGACGCUCGACACAUCUGGGCCCCGUAAGAUUUUCAUUUCUGCUCCUCCUCCUUUUGCUCACUCUGCCCCUGCCACAUUGGUCUCCUGCUUUCCCGGAACUUGCCCAACAUGUUCCUCCCUCAGGGCCUUCACAUUUGUCAUUUCCUGUCCUAUGAUGCUCUUCCUGCAGAUAUCUACAGCAGCUCCCCGCUGCUCCUUUUGCAGGUUUUUGUUCAGAUGUCAUCUUCCUGGUGAGCUCUUCCCUGAACAACUCCUCACCCCCUCCACCUUGCCCCUGGGACUCCCUUUGACCUUUCUCGGAUUGUUUUCCCUGUAACUCUUGCCACCACCUCAUACAGGGCUUCUCAAGCUUGGCAUGAUUGGCAUUUUGGGACAGUUCUUUGUUGCGGGCUAUUAUCCUGUGCCUUGCAGGAUGUUUAGCAGCAUCACCACCCUCGACCCACUCAAUACCUGCAACUUUCCUCCCUAGGUUGUGACAGCCAGAAAUGUCUCCAGACACUGCCAAAUGUCUCCUGGGGGACAAAACCACCCCUGGUUGAGAAUCUUUGAUAUAAUGUAAAUAUGCAUUUUACCUAUGUAUUUGUUUAUUGUUCCUCCCUUCCCCACCAAUAAAAUAUAAUCUCCAUGAGAACAGGAAUUUUUGUGUCUAUUUUCCACUGAUGUAAUGCAGGCACUCUGAAUAGGGUAUGAUGCAUAGUAGGUGCUCAAACAGAUAUUUCACUGGUGAAUAAAUGAAAUGUGCUCUGACCUUGUUCCUCUGUGCUCAUUAAGCUCUAGCCACACUGACCUUUCUUCCACCUCUCAGACAUCUGAAGCUCCUUCUCACCUUUCAGUCUUUUUCUUUCAGAUCUCACUCCUGGAAAGCUCUAUUCGCAGGUCUCUGUUUACUUGUUACUCAGGUCCAAUAACACCUGCUUAGAGAGGCUUCCCUGAUCACCGUAUCCUACAUGACCCUCCCUGCCAGCCAGAGUCACUGUCUAUAUUGUUACUGUGUUUUAGUUUCUGCAUUACAUUUGUCUUGGAAAUUAUCUUGUUUACGUGGCAGGUGUACAUCUUGCUCCCUUAAAUGAAUGCUCCUUGACCACUCCACAUUAUCUGCUUUGUUUAUUAACGGCAGUAAUCUAAAACAGUAGUCUAAAACAGUGCAAGGCCCAUCGUUGAUGGGCUGAUUAAAUAAGUAUGCCUGUCUUUUAAUCAAUUCAGGGUGGAAGAGAGUCUCUAUAGAAAGGGUUUAAGGGCUGUGUCUGUCAAGGUCCAGUAGCAAAAAAAAAGAAAAAAGAAAAAAAAAGAGUCUGCUCUAGCUAAUUUGAACAGAAAGGGAUUAAUUAGAGAAUGUGGUUCACCAUCGAGAAGGCUGCAGCAACAUCCUCCACAGUGAGCUUUCAGGAACCACCUUGGAAACCACACACUGACUGGGCCACCAAGGUAGAGACUGCUCUUCUUUGAUUGGGAGAACUACAGCCAAGCUGGGACACUGAGGGGUCAGCUGCUGGGUCUGGGACCAAAUGACCACUUCUGGGAAGAUCACACCUGCAUGAAAAGGAGGUCAGCACUACUGGGAACUGACAAGAUCAAGAG
rnacentral:lncRNA from 1 species